UGCACUCACUACUGUAGGUCACUCUGGAUAAGAGUGUCUGCUAAAGGACUUAAG
rfam:Salmo salar isolate Sally breed double haploid chromosome ssa22, whole genome shotgun sequence.